GCCGAAUUCCCCGACCCGUGCCCCGUGCCCCGCACCCUGCGCCGUGGUCGUUUCUACUUCCCUUCCCCAACCGAUGCACCGCUGCCGCCAACGCUCGCAACUCCUCCUCUCUUCCCCGAGCGUACAAAACCCCUCUCCUCAGCCUGAGCAAUGGCAACCCUUUCUCUUUCUUUUCCCCUUUGGCUCCUGCGACGCCGAAGCUCCUCUUUGCCUCUGCCCCGAUCCUCCUUGCACCGACGCAGAGCCCUAGAGCUCGAGCCACCGCCCGAUCGCCGGAAGCAAGGGCUAACACCAGCCCUCAUCUCGUUGUGCCCUAGUCGUAAUCGUCGUGCCCUAGAUCGUUGGGGAUCGGCAGCGUGCGUCGAUGACAAGGCUGAUCUCUAUAGGGUUGAUUGGUGUCUAGAAUUGUUGAUUUCUUUCUUAAUCCGGAAAUGUGGCAGCGAGAUCCCUUUUCACAGCAGAUCGACACACCUAUAUUAGUUAGGUUUUGGAUGGUUUGAUCACGGAGAAGGUUCAAGCAAGGGUGGAUUCCAACCAAGUGUUGUGUGCUGUGGAUCAACAACCAUUUUGUUCCAGCGUCAACAGUGGCUAGGUAUUGAGGACUUUGAUUCGAGACGGUGUCUCGACGAGGGGUCUAUUUCGGAUUGAACUUUCCUAUUGAAGGCGGGU